UUUUCCGGGGAAAAACUCCCGAGUUGAGUUGCUGGUUGAACAAAAUGUACGUAGUGUAUACGAGGAGUACGCAAUGUUACAACCGCUCGUUUUCGCACUGCGCCGAAUCGCAGUGAGUGUAUUUCGAGUGGGUGGUGGUUGCCACUGGCAAAAGCCAGGACGGUCGGUGGGUUGGCGCCAGCUUGACGACGUUGAACGAUAACAAUUAUCGAUCUGACUCACCGCACAGCACAGCAAAGCAAAUAAUUUCUAUAAUAAUAGCAAAAACUUGUAGUCACAAAAGGCGGCAAUAGAUAAAUCACUAUGCUAAUCGAGGAACAGAACAACCCACACGGCAAUCGCUCGUCAAUUGUUGAGUUGGCAAUUAUAGUAAUGACAGGAAAAGCAGCACAUACAAUGAGUUUUUGGAAAAGCAAUCAACUUUUUGGCAAUCGUCUGGCUUUGUAUCGAUAUUCAGUGGCUAUCUUAAUGCCUGUGGACCUAAACUGAAUCUGCGGUGGUCUCCUUUAAAGAGAUUGUACAGCCGUUUUUCGACAUUUACUCGCCUGGGCCACCAGCAAACAGAAAACAGCAAAAAAACUCAGCACGACCGCUGAGAGUUGGGCCCCCGUUCAAAGUCCAAAUAUCAACCGCAAACCAGCCAAACUCGCCCAAACAAUUGCAACGAGGAGCUGGAGGAGGAGGAUCGGGUGGUUGGAGCUGAUGGUGGUGCAAAAAGGGGGAAGAGGGAACGGGGAACUUAUCGGUGGGUUUGGGUUAGCUGGCACUGCCAUGCACACUCUGUUGUGUGGAGCACUGCAGGCUAGCCGACUGUGAGAAAGUUUUAAUGGAAUGCAGUCAAACCACUCUGGCGACGGCGCACUCGGCGACUCCACAUCCCAGCAGCACCACCGCCACCGCACCACCGCCGUGUGGAGCCUGACUUGCAGCAUAAAGCGCAGCAUAAAUGCAUAUUGCAACGCUGGCGGUGCAAGCGAGACGGCCAUGUGGUGCCAAGAUGAAACCAUCAAUGGGAAAAACAACUAACCACAGGGAAAACGGAGCUGCAGAGCUGCGCAGAGCAAAAAAAAAAAAAAAAUGUAUAAAAGUAUAAAAGAGUACACAUAAAGUGCAGCAGCAGAAACAAAAGCAAUUGUAAAUUACAAAUGCUGCUGACUUCUGGAGCUCGGGAUAUAUAUACCGUGGAACUAUAUAGCCGAUGAUGAUGCUGAAUCAGGGGAUGCUAAGUAAGGAUGGGGUCUGUUUUCCGUGCAGAGAUUGCGCAUUGUUUUUGAAGUGGAGCAGCAGUCACCAGUGCAACACACAAAGCUUGAGAUGCUGUCUGCAAUUGUAAUUGCAAUUUGUCUACCCUUAAAAACGGGUAUUGCCUUUUUAACAGAAUUUGUUUAUAUUAAAUAUCCUAAAGAUCCAA